UACGUAGGGGGCUAGCGUUGUCCGGAAUCAUUGGGCGUAAAGAGCGUGUAGGCGGCCCGGUAAGUCCGCUGUGAAAGUCGGGGGCUCAACCCUCGAAUGCCGGUGGAUACUGUCGGGCUAGAGUGCGGAAGAGGCGAGUGGAAUUCCUGGUGUAGCGGUGAAAUGCGCAGAUAUCAGGAGGAACACCGAUUGCGAAGGCAGCUCGCUGGGACGUCACUGACGCAGAGACGCGAAAGCGUGGGGAGCAAACAGG
rnacentral:rRNA from 1 species